rnacentral:rRNA from 1 species
UACGUAGGGUGCGAGCGUUGUCCGGAAUUAUUGGGCGUAAAGAGCUUGUAGGCGGUUUGUCGCGUCUGCCGUGAAAAUUCGAGGCUCAACCUCGAACUUGCGGUGGGUACGGGCAGACUAGAGUGUGGUAGGGGAGACUGGAAUUCCUGGUGUAGCGGUGAAAUGCGCAGAUAUCAGGAGGAACACCGGUGGCGAAGGCGGUUCUCUGGGCAUUACCUGACGCUGAGGAGCGAAAGUGUGGGGAGCGAACAGG